rnacentral:rRNA from 1 species
UACGGAGGGUGCAAGCGUUAUCCGGAUUCACUGGGUUUAAAGGGUGCGUAGGUGGGCAGGUAAGUCAGUGGUGAAAUCUCCGGGCUUAACCCGGAAACUGCCGUUGAUACUAUCUGUCUUGAAUAUAGUGGAGGUGAGCGGAAUAUGUCAUGUAGCGGUGAAAUGCUUAGAUAUGACAUAGAACAUCGAUUGCGAAGGCAGCUCGCUACGCUAUUAUUGACGCUGAGGGGCGAAAGCGUGGGGAGCGAACAGG